AAAGCGUUUAAGAAACAGGUAAAAAGGUGUUUAAGAAACAUAUCUGUUUCUUAAGCAUAUCUUUUUGUUUUCUUUUGUUUGUCCCGAGGAAGGUUUUUACCGAUUUACUCCUGAGGGCUUGUAGCUCAGUUGGUUAGAGCGCGCGCUUGAUAAGCGUGAGGUCGGAGGUUCAAGUCCUCCCAGGCCCACCAAUUUAUGAUUGCUGAUAAGUUUGCUGAUAAGUUUUUUGUGAAUGUUUUGAUGGUCUUUUAUCUUACGAUCUUUCACUUUUAUGUUGCAAUCUUUCAAAAGUAUUUGAACUGUUUUAGGGGCCGUAGCUCAGCUGGGAGAGCACCUGCUUUGCAAGCAGGGGGUCGUCGGUUCGAUCCCGUCCGGCUCCACCAUCUUUGGUUAUCAUCAUCGUUAAAGAACAAUGUUU
rnacentral:tRNA from 1 species